AACAAAAACAUGUCCUUUAGGUAUUUAUUUAAGGUCUAAUCUGCCCAGUGAUUUUUUAAAUGGCCGCAGUAAUUUGACUGUGCGAAGGUAGCAUAAUCAUUAGUUUUUUAAUUGAAAGCUUGUAUGAAUGAUUGGACGAGAAAAAUACUGUCUCUUAUUAAAUUAUAUAAUUUUAUUUUUUAGUUAAAAAGCUAAAAUUUUAUUAAAAGACGAGAAGACCCUAUAAAGCUUUAUAUUCAUUGAAUUUAUUAAAUUUUGGUAAUAUUAUUUUUUUAAAUUUAUAUAAUAUUUAAUUGGGGAAAUUUAAAGAUUAAAAUAAUUCUUUAUUUUUUAUACAUAUAUAUAUGUUUAUUUGAUCCUUUAUUAAAGAUUUAAGAUUAAGUUACUUUAGGGAUAACAGCGUAAUUUUUUUGGAGAGUUCAUAUCGAUAAAAAAGUUUGCGACCUCGAUGUUG
rnacentral:rRNA from 1 species